UACAGAGGGUGCAAGCGUUGUUCGGAAUUAUUGGGCGUAAAGGGCGCGUAGGCGGUGCGGUAAGUCCGCAGUGAAAUCUCUGGGCUCAACUCAGAGUCUGCUGUGGAAACUGCCGUGCUUGAGUGUGGGAGAGGUGAGUGGAAUUCCCAGUGUAGAGGUGAAAUUCGUAGAUAUUGGGAAGAACACCGGUGGCGAAGGCGGCUCACUGGCCCGUAACUGACGCUCAUGCACGACAGCGUGGGGAUCAAACAGG
rnacentral:rRNA from 1 species